rnacentral:rRNA from 1 species
AUUGAACGCUGGCGGUAGGCUUAACACAUGCAAGUCGUGCGAGAAAGUAUCUUCGGAUAUGAGUAGAGCGGCGGACGGGUGAGUAACGCGUAGGAAUCUACCUAGUAGAAGGGGAUAGCCCGGGGAAACUCGGAUUAAUACCGUAUACCUCCUUCGGGAGAAAGAAGGCCUCUCCUUGAAGCUUUCGCUAUUAGAUGAGCCUGCGUAAGAUUAGCUUGUUGGUGAGGUAAAGGCUCACCAAGGCGACGAUCUUUAGCGGGUCUGAGAGGACGAUCCGCCACAUUGGGACUGAGACACGGCCCAGACUCCUACGGGAGGCAGCAGUGGGGAAUAUUGGACAAUGGGCGCAAGCCUGAUCCAGCCAUACCGCGUGUGUGAAGAAGGCCCUAGGGUUGUAAAGCACUUUAAGUUGGGAAGAAAAGUUAUUGGUUAAUACCCAAUAACCGUGACAUUACCAUCAGAAUAAGGACCGGCUAAUUCCGUGCCAGCAGCCGCGGUAAUACGGAAGGUCCAAGCGUUAAUCGGAAUUACUGGGCGUAAAGCGCGCGUAGGUGGUUUAUUAAGUUGGAUGUGAAAUCCCCGGGCUCAACCUGGGAACUGCAUCCAAAACUGAUUCACUAGAGUACGAUAGAGGGAGGUAGAAUUCACAGUGUAGCGGUGGAAUGCGUAGAUAUUGUGAAGAAUACCAAUGGCGAAGGCAGCCUCCUGGAUCUGUACUGACACUGAGGUGCGAAAGCGUGGGUAGCGAACAGGAUUAGAUACCCUGGUAGUCCACGCCGUAAACGAUGUCAACUAGCUGUUGGAAAACUAUGUUUUUCAGUGGCGCAGCUAACGUAGUAAGUUGACCGCCUGGGGAGUACGGCCGCAAGGCUAAAACUCAAAUGAAUUGACGGGGACCCGCACAAGCGGUGGAGCAUGUGGUUUAAUUCGAUGCAACGCGAAAAACCUUACCUAUACUUGACAUACUUGGAAUGCUUUGUAAUGAAGCAGUGCUCUUCGGGAGCCAAGAUACAGGUGCUGCAUGGCUGUCGUCAGCUCGUGUCGUGAGAUGUUCCGUUAAGUCGGAUAACGAGCGCAACCCUUACCCUUAUUUGCCAGCGAUUCGGUUCGGGAACUAUAAGGGGACUGCCGGUGAUAAACUCGGAGGAAGGUGAGGACGACGUCAAGUUCAUCAUGGCCCUUACGUAUAGGGCUACGCGCGUGCUACGAUGGAGAAUACGGACGGAACGCGAAGCCGCGAGGUGGUGCUAAUCCUAGAAAAAUUCUUCGUAGUCCGGAUUGGAGUCUGCAACUCGACUCCAUGAAGUCGGAAUCGCUAGUAAUCGCGAAUCAGCAUGUCGCGGUGAAUACGUUCUCGGGUCU